AUGAGGAAUUCUCAGCAUCAUUUGGAGCUCGUCUGGAAUGUGACUCAAGCAUACCCUUUCGAAAGCCUGGUGUUAUGGACUGCCUGUGCGUUCCCCCAAAAUGUAGACAGGCUGGGAUGUCUGAGCCCGCUGCAGGCUCAGGAGGAAGGGCAGAUUCUGGGGAAGAAGGCCCCAGCCGCAGGAGCCAUCCCAGCCGCACAGCCAGACUCCCGUUGUCAGGCUUGGCCCACGUCCGGCCGAUCAGCGCAUGGCUGGAGAACCGCACAUCUGGCUGUGACGGUGGCUGCCUUCCUUUCGUUUCUACUCCAGCAACCCGGCCCCAGGAUCAGCUGCAUGGGAGGUAAAUGGAAACUUUGUGGACAGAGUCCAGUGGUCACCCAGGGCUGGCGACGCUCCUGCCUUUCAGGUGUCCUGGGCACCCGAGCAGCUGUGGGCUACGGCUUAUACUUUCCCUGACUGCGAUGGCUUUAUGGGAUGUGAGACACAGGUCAUUCACCUUUUACCCCAGUCAUGCAGCUAAUCACCAGAGCAUUUCACCGCCUCAGCCGUGGCUGCAAAACACUAAGCCGAUUAUGGGAAAGUGCAGAACACGAAUGCUCUUGUGGAAUUUUCAGUAGAGAUAAGCAUUUGCUGAGAUUGAGUGUGACGUGAACUCAGCGCCCUCUCCAUCUUACUGUGUGACCUGAAGCCCAAUGACCCGGUCCCUGGGUGGACCCUGUCCCUGGGUGGACCCUGCCCGUCGGUGGCCCCUUCCAGGCAGGCCAUUGGUCUUCGUGCACUCGGUCAGCUGUGGCUGGUACCUGUCCUCCUCAGGCCCCCUCUCAGGUAAGACAAGGUGUGGGACCUGGGGCUGGCGGAAGCGAGAAUCCCUGGCCCUGGAAUGGUUGGCGGUGAGGGUCCUCUGGAGCUCAUCCCACUGCGGCAGCUCAGAAAGAUGAAGCGGCUCUCCCGUUGUGUCCCCCCAGCACACAAACCUGGUGUCAGUGGCUCCAAGGCCCAGGAGGAGCUCCAAAAGCCACACACUGAGAAGAUGUGUCAUGGCCAAGUCCCACAGGGAGGCUGUGGUAGACUCCGGGCUGACAACAGGGCCUGGCCCUGAGUUCUGGCAGGGGCUCUCGGCAUGCCCCAUGGGACCCCCACGGAUGACCAUAGGACCUGACGGCCCCUCCAGGUUUCCAGAAGGAAGAAAACAGGAUCUUGGGUGUUGGCGGUGAGUCCCAGGAAUCUCCUCUCAGUGAAGCCAUCUCAUUCUUCCAAGGGCUCAGGUCCAAAGCCUGGAGCCUUUUGGCUUUCCUCUCCCCUCACUCCCCAUCAGCAUAUACAGCCAGGACUGGGCCUCUGCUCCCUCCUGCCUUCCCCACUCACCCAUGGGCCAAGCGUCCAGCUUCUUGCCUGGAUGACCUUGGGGCCUCCCACCUGUCGGAUUACACCUGCUACACCCGAGUCACAUCAGGUCCCACCUGUGCUCAUGGCCCCCAGCCCUCCUUUUUGCCUUUUCCUGAUUGUUUUUCUCCAUUGCACUUGUUCGUAGCUGGCCUGGCUUAUAUUUCCCGGUUCAUUUGCCUUUUGAGUCUACCCCGCUGCACGGUGAACAUGUGAGCAGUGUUUUGUUCAUUUUGUCAACAGCUAUAUCCUCAGUGCCUACAGGGUCCCCAGCAUGGAGCUCUGCUGAGUAUGUUGAUGUAGCGACACAGCCAGAGCUCCAGGCAGAGACCCCGUGGGUGGUGGUGUGCGCUCGGCGGCACCUGUGAGGUCACCUAGGAUGGCAGCCAUGCAGUCUAGACCAUGGGAGCUCCACGGUCCAGCCCAGCCGUACACAGCGAGUAAUGGCAACCCUAGCUCCUUACCACCCGCCACGCACCUUUUAGAUUCAAGCAUGGGCUCGGGUUCCUUGGCCUCAAUAUUCUCAUCUAUUAAAUGGGAUAAUGACACACCUCCCUUGGUAAUAGUAAGGCGGAUGGACAGAUCUCCAAAGUGGAUGGGACAGCGGGACGAGCACACCUCUGUCCCCAGGUGUCACUGCCCUGUGGGAUUUCUCUUUUGGAUCCUGCGUGUCUACUUCCCUGAGCCCUGGACCGCUUAGUGCUCUGGGUCAUAAGUAUCCCUGACGUCUCCACUCCUGAAUUCAGCAGAGGCAGGGUGGGAUGUGCAAAAUCAGCUUCCUGCAGGCCCUUCUCUGGCCUCAUCUGACCUUCCCAGCACAGCUGUCAGGAAAGUAAGAGUGCAAAGGGCUGGCAUCUCCAUCUCAUGCCCUGUGGGGCCGGUUGGUCUUCCCCACCUUCGACCUUCAGAGGACCAGGGAGCAGCUGGUGUUAGGGGAUUCCUCCCUCAGCCUUUGGCAUGCUGGGGGGCUGGGGUUCAAGGCCACACUGCCCUCCUGGGAGCUGGGCCGCCUUCCUUUCCCUACUGAUGGUGGAGCAGAGCUGCAGCUGCUUUUCAGGAGGCCACCUCAGGGCGUGUAAGCAUCUGAUCUUUCCGGCAGCCACUUCCUUCCCAUCACUCAGCCGCACUUGCAGGCUGCGCUGUCUCAGAGAGGAGGAAAUGAGGGUGGAGAGCUCUGAGGCCUGAGCCUCUGUGGACCUAGCCUGGCAGGAAGAGUCUGGAGGGUUUGCAGCACGGGUACUUGCCCAGGAAGGACCCGGCAGGCUCCACCUCCUUGGUGACCUAUGGGCAGGCUCACUAGGGACCCUCCUGAUGGCGGGGCACCGCUGGGUGGUGGGAAGACCCACACCCCGACAAAGUGAGUAUGGCUGGGAUGGCCUGCUCUAAGAGGGGCUGUCGCCUUUUCACCCAUGUUGGAAGAGACCCCCUGCUCUGUUCUUGGGACAAAUGCAGCCCUGUUCUCUGAGCUUGAUGGCCUGGGUUUUGUAUGGGCUGCACCGGGAUCGUGCGGCUGUGACGAGGGGGCUUUUAGCUCCCUGGUCCAGAGUCAGACAGUCCUGACUGGAAUCCCUCUGGACGGGGCAGCCACUGGGUGAUGCAGGCAGGCAGGCCCUUCCUGUGCCAGUGGUUAAAUGUCCUUCUAUGGUCAGCCCCGAGCCAUGGGCUCUGCUCUGAUAGCCUUGUGAUGCCCAGAGCAGGCUUCUGGGGAUUCAAAGCAUCCCGGAUGCGUUUCUUCUAGAAAGGGUGGAGAGAAAGUCUGGGGUAGAGUGGGCCCAGGCCGGGAGCCCUGAGCAGCCCUGAGGAAUCAGGAGGCAGGGACGGUGUGGAACUGGGCUCCAGACCGGGCUCAUCAGGGCUCGGCUCCCAGGAUGCCUUCUCCAGCCUUGCAGCCUGCUGCUACGGUGCUCCUGCUCCGGUUCCUUUGGCAACCACUUAAUGACCUGCUACUGGGCCCUCGGUGAGCCUAGUCAGUGAGGGAGAUGGAGCCGAGGUCGUGCUAUGCAGGGAGGCUAUGCUAGAAGAUGCAAUGGCAGGCCUCAGCCUAGCCUCAGGGAUCUCCAGUGGAAGCAGGUCAAGGAGGUCUCCUGGAGGCACUGACCCCGGCCAGCCCAGAGCACUGGCAGCAGUGGUGCAAGCCCAGGAGAGGAGGCAGAACAAGGCCCAGAAGUGCAACCUGUGUGUGUGUCAGCAAUGUCGGGCAAUGAGGUAGGGCAGCGUGGAGUUGGGAGAUGAGACAUGUCACACAGGGGCCUGGGUAGUGUGUUAAUGAGUUUAAACUUUCUCUUGCAGAGGGGGGCUGUAGAGGAGCUUCAAGCUGGGGAGUGAUAUGGUCAGAUUUGGAUUUGACACCUGAAGGAGCGUGGAUUGCAGGGAGGUUGGCUGGAGGCAUGGUAACUGAGAAGGAGACGGGGCAGCCAGCUUAGCAAAGUGAACAGUGGCCCAGCAAUCGGGAGGGAGUAACCAGAGGGGUGGAGAGCUACUUGGGAGGCACUCAGGGCUGCGGUGUGGUCCUUGAUUAGACAUGGAGGACAGACCAAAGGGAGGAGUCCUUUACAGCAACUGUGGGAACAGAGGACAUUAGAAGCCACCUAGCUUAGCCAAUGGAGAAGUCUUCCCUGGGUGGGGCCCAGGAUGGCCACGUGGGGUGGCCAGAAGCUCUGGGGCCUGCUGGCUUCGAGCAUCCUUGAGCUAUAAGCCUGGCAGGCAAAGUGCUUAAAUAUUUAUCACAAACAGAAAUUGAUGUUGGAGAACUAAAUUCUCAAAAAGGAAGUUGAAAGGAAAGGGAAGGUGGGACCUUUGAAUCCCAAUUUGUAGCAUGCGGCCUCUGCAUAUUUCAUUAACUCCUCAGAGUGUGGCAGACCCAGAUGUUCAGGAUGUGAGGAGGUUCUGCUAGUCACACUCCGGUGCUCCGCCCCUGCAGCAGCUCAUUAUUCCAGGGCUGUGUGAGGAAGGUCAGAGGCAAGGAUGCUCGAAAAAGGAAGAGUGAAUAAAAUUGUGAUGGACGGGGGAGGACUUGUGUCAAGCUGCUGAGGGAAUAAUAAGAAUGAGAAGCGAGUUGAGAUUUGAAAUGAAAACCAGGAAAAGGCAGCAGGGUGUUUAGAAAGAGCACUGACUUUGAAUUAAGCCAGACCUCAUCCAUUCACCAGCUCUGAGAACUUCAGGAAAUUUCUUGAUAUCUCUGGAUUUUACAAGGUACAGAUAAUACAGAUCUAGUAAGCAUUGUCAACAUAAUUCAUUAUUAUUACCAUUUACAUUACUACUACUACUAUCAUUACCAUUUUCAUACUACUACUCAUUUAUUGCUAUUAC
rnacentral:lncRNA from 1 species